rnacentral:rRNA from 1 species
AAAUUGAAGAGUUUGAUCAUGGCUCAGAUUGAACGCUGGCGGCAGGCCUAACACAUGCAAGUCGAACGGUAGCACAGAGAGCUUGCUCUCGGGUGACGAGUGGCGGACGGGUGAGUAAUGUCUGGGAAACUGCCUGAUGGAGGGGGAUAACUACUGGAAACGGUAGCUAAUACCGCAUAAUGUCGCAAGACCAAAGAGGGGGACCUUCGGGCCUCUUGCCAUCAGAUGUGCCCAGAUGGGAUUAGCUAGUAGGUGGGGUAAUGGCUCACCUAGGCGACGAUCCCUAGCUGGUCUGAGAGGAUGACCAGCCACACUGGAACUGAGACACGGUCCAGACUCCUACGGGAGGCAGCAGUGGGGAAUAUUGCACAAUGGGCGCAAGCCUGAUGCAGCCAUGCCGCGUGUAUGAAGAAGGCCUUCGGGUUGUAAAGUACUUUCAGCGGGGAGGAAGGUGUUGUGGUUAAUAACCGCAGCAAUUGACGUUACCCGCAGAAGAAGCACCGGCUAACUCCG